CAAAUUUGAAUUCUCAGCUCUCUCUCUCUCUCUCUCUGAAAUUCAAAUUCAAAUUUGAGUUUCAAGUUUGGUUUCCUAGAGCCGCUACGGUCACCGCCGUGGUUCUUCACAAGAUACAUGCACGGCGGCGGCGGGUAUCGGAUGCUGGGUUUCAGAUGAUCAGUGGUUCGCCAAUUGAUCAUCAUUUAUGAGAUUUAAUCUCGAAUAGACAGUCUCGGUAAUUUUACAAGGUACGAUGAGAAACCCAGUAAUCUGAGAUAGAGAAAGAGAGACUUUCAUGAAAUUUCAAUAUAAAUAAUUGGUGCUCCCUCUUUAUUUAGGGGUUGAGGAACCAUGUUUGAUUGGGUUUCAUGCUGUCCAGGCCCCAAUUCGGAAUUAACAGUCCCAUGUAUUAUUGAUACAAAUUGACAAUUUUGUCACAGUUGCCAUCGGAAUUAAUACCCUUGUUUCGGAAAGAUAAGUCGGAAUUGGUCCCUAAGGUUGCCUAUGAUAUAUAUAGCAUUCUGCAAACAUGUUGCUAUACUCGGAAUUUCACCACUCAAGUGAUUUUUUUGCCCAACUUGAGUGAAUUUCCAACUACCAACUUGUUGAUGCAGUAGUUGGCGGAGGAUAAGGAAAUUGUUGCCUGUCGGUUUAUAUUGAUAAAUUUGUUGCCACUCAAGUGAUUUUUGCCCAACUUGAUGUGGCAGCAAACAACCCAUUGAGGUAAUAGUGCAAGAGGUACGACUGAGGUUUGUUGCCUUGUAAAUUUAUGUUGAUUUGAUUGUUGCCCCUUGAGUGAUUUUUGCCCAGACUGAGGUUUCAACAAAAACCACGUCCUUGCCUCAUAAGGAAAGGUUAGACAGUUGCUUUUAUGAUGCUAAUCGGAGGUUGCCUUGUCCUUGAGCAGUUAUUUUAUCUGGCAAGUAUGUCCUCAGCCAUUGUCCACUUCUAAUUAAUCUCUUUACUCAGGUACAUUUAUAGAUAAAUUCCCUUCCAAGCCAUCUGGAUGCCUUAUAGUACCUACAGUGAUAUGUUUAUGAAACCUGAGUAAAGAAAUUAUUUUGAUGGUGCAUGA